GGCUCACGCCUGUAAUCCCAGCACUUUGGGAGGCUGAGGUGGGAGGAUCACUUGAGGCCAGGAGUUGAGACCAGCCUAGGCAAUUUAGUGAGAGCCCAUCUUG